rnacentral:lncRNA from 1 species
UCUCUCUCUCUGUGUGUCUGUAUGUGUGUGUAUGUGUGUGUGUGUGUGUGUGUGUGUGUGUGUGUGUGUGUGUGUGUGUGUUAACAGGGAAAUUGUUGGAUGUUAUGUUAGGCCUCCCUUUAGUUUUUGCACAGCCCCUGUUAUGGCUUUGUUAACUGACUCACCCAGCAGUAAUUUAAGUAGUUCCUCUUCUUCGGACCUUCAUCAUUUCUCUUAAUUCUUCAUCAGAGGACUAACUUGCAGCUCUUCCCCCAUUCAAAGAUAAUAAUUAAUCUGUUUUCUCUACUUCCUUCAUUGUACAAAAUCCUUUCAUUUAAUAGAAUGUCAUUUGACCAUUGAUUUUAAUUUUGAUACUUGUGAGUUUUGUGGCUCAUAUGUAAAAAGAGAAAUAUUUAUUUCUACACCUGUGUUGGAAUUGUUCCUCUAUUGAUUUCAGAGUUUCAGGUAUUUAACAUAAAAUUGAGCCACUUUAUACUGAAUUUUAUAGCGGGUAAAGAUAUGGCAUAAACUUUUGGAUUUUAGAAUAUAUAUUUAUAUGUAGCUAAUAAAUCUUUCAUAAAGUAAAAUAAUAGCUUUGUGAGAAUAUGGCAGUAUUUUCUUAGGAAAUGCAAAUAGGUUGAUUGAAACCCUUAGCUUCUAUAUCAUCAUGAUGUAGACCAUAGACAUGGUAAGCACAGUAUUACCGUGGAGUAUUAAUUAAGAGUAUAGACAGAGAUCCUAGGCAUUUGAAUCAUGUAAUUUAUUGCAAUGAAACCAUAGGCUCCUAUAGUUUGCUUUAAGCACUUCCCAUAGUUUUUAGGGGUAGGGACAAUGACUGGCAUUUUUCUUCUCUGGCCAUGUUUUGAAAUCCAUUAAUCUAAGAGAGAAGACAUACUACGUCUUCAAAUAAAAUUACUCAUCCUAGAACUCAAGAGAGCUACGUCUUUGACACUUCAGCAUUCUCAACUUUUAAAGUUAGUGAUGUCCUAGUAUUGUCAGAAACAGGUGGGCUGAGCUUUGACUGUUCAGGGUAAAGGAUAAUAAUGGAUCAUGCAUGACAAAAAUAAAGACCUUGAUAUUAUGAUGGAUCUCCUAUAGAGCAGAGUAUGCUAGAAAGCAACUCACAAAAAAGCACUGGAUCUUACAAAACUCACAAUGUGAGUAUUUUUCUUCUUUUUUGAGUAAUUUGCCCCUUUUUCAUUAUAUUGUAUAUAAAAAGAAAAAUGUUCUAAAGAGAUUUACUGUCCCCAAGUGAGUAAACUUCAGUCACAUAUAGGAGAAUUCAACUGUGUAACACUUAGUAGAUCCGUAGAUUAUAAUGGAAGAAGUUUGUUGUCAUCAUCAUUGUUUAAUUUCAAACAGGAUGCCACUUAGCCAGGAGAGACUAGAAGCCAUUAUUCCAGCUCAGACUGAGCUCAAUAUAGUGUAGAGCCUAGAUUGACCCUGAACUUGCAAACUAGAGGAGACAAUACUACUGUUUCAGUCUUUCAAAUGUGAAGAAUUUUUUGUUUUUGUUUUUGUUUUUUGUUUGUUUGUUUGUUUUUCAAGAUAGGGUUUCUCUAUGUAGCCCUGGCUGUCCUGGAACUAUAAGCCUGAUCCAGCACCUCUUGCUUUAAGGAACAUCUUAUCUAAAUAUUGACAGAAGGGCUGACUUGGAUUUUCAUGGCUGUUAGUCAGCUAAAGUGCUAUGUGCUUUCUGGACAGUAAGUAAUAUGUAUUCCUCGACAUUACCUGAUAUAAAGAAACCACCUUUAUACAAGCAAUCUUCUAGAUUAAUAUUACCAGGAACUGAAGUCUACUUCUCAUCUUGGAGGAUGCUGUCUGAUGAGCAGUGACUCCAGGGUCUCUUGUCAUUGUUUUAAAAAUUGAGAAUAUCUGUAUUUGGAUGAUAUAAUUGAGUCCUAGUAUUAUGAUAUGAUUUCAAGCUAAUACAGAUGCUAUUUAGUGCCAUUAUGAUCAGGAGGGCUGGCGAAACAUUUGCAGUCUUGGUUUUAAAUGAGAUUUUUUUUUCUAGUUCUGAUACAUGGGAGAAAGCUUCUAUAAUGCCUUCUCUCGACAAAAUAUAAAUGGACAGUACCAAACUAAGAGGGAUAUAAGUGGGAGCAAAGGUUGUAUGACACAACCUGAGUCUAACUGAGGGUAACGUAAGUUCCUUUUUUAUACCCCUGCUCUGUGUCAGGUGCUGUCCAUUUACAUAAGCAACACUAUUUCUUUGUUCUGUGAAUUGACUUUCAUACUUCCUUUGCACAUUUUAAGUUACAGAUGAAGAAAGCCACAGAAUAACUUAUUAAAAUUGACAAGAUAGAAACCAACAAAAGAAAAUAAACUUCACCAGUAAAAAUCUUGCUUAAAUUUAAUAGGGCUAACAGGAAAGUUAAUCAGAAAAUUUUAGUUAAAAUAUGAAUGACAAAACCCAGAAGGCUGUGUUGCUAGAAGCACAUCUUGAGUUUGAAUAUAUGAGGUUCUUCUGGGAUAAGAUUAGUGAUCCAGCUAGGUAAUACCUGUUCUCACUCUUUAAGGUUUGGUAUCAUUCUACCGAAGACUUUGAGCCACAAAAUAAACAGUCACGCUUAUCUUUGC